AAAAGAAUGAAAACCCCGAGAAAGCUUGCAUUGAAGUUAUUUGGAAGCCUAAAACCGAACAAAUAGGGAAACUAGAAAAGGAAUAUGAAAUGAUAUUGAAGAGAACCAUGCAGAGUAUUUGUAUUUUGACUGUUAAUCCAAAUACUACAACAUCAGUUAUAAUACAGGUUGCCAACGAUGAUGGUCCUCUUCUCC